UACAGAGGUCCCAAGCGUUGUUCGGAUUCACUGGGCGUAAAGGGUGCGUAGGCGGUCGGGUAAGUCUGAUGUGAAAUCUCCGGGCUCAACCCGGAAAUGGCAUUGGAUACUAUUCGGCUCGAGGUCUGGAGGGGGGACUGGAAUACUUGGUGUAGCAGUGAAAUGCGUAGAUAUCGGGAGGAACACCUGUGGCGAAAGCGGCUCACUGGACCACAACUGACGCUGAUGCGCGAAAGCUAGGGGAGCAAACAGG
rnacentral:rRNA from 1 species